AAGUCGUAACAAGGUUUUGCUAAGCAACAGUCCUUCUAUAGCAGGGCUUAACGGAGACCUUGCACCCGAGAGGGAGUGGGCGACUAUAAACAAACUGCUAGCGCAAGUCAGCCUGGCUGGCAACACAACCGAAUUGCGGGGACGCUUUAAUACCCAACGGUACCAACUACCCUACCGGGGUAGGGCUGGCUCUGCCAGAGGUUAUAAUCCGUUGAGAUGUACAAUAAGCAAUCCGCAGCAGCACCUUUCCAGUGCUGUUCACAGACUAAGUGGUUGUGGGUAAGACAUCUGUCCUACCUAAGAUAUAGUCGGGCCCCGUGAGAGAUUACGGGGGCUUCUGCGUCCGUAGGUGAACCUGCGGAAGGAUCAUUACAAGUGAGCCUGGUGGGUCGCUGGCAACAGCGCUCUCCUAGGCAUCGCCCACCCGUGUUUACAUACUCUUGUUGCUUUGGCAGGCCGUGGCCUCCACUGCGGGUUCUGCUCGUAAGUGCCUGCCAGAGGACCAAACUCUGAAUAUUAGUGACGUCUGAGUACUAUAUAAUAGUUAAAA
rnacentral:misc_RNA from 1 species